rnacentral:rRNA from 1 species
GACCUCAAAUCAGAUAGGACUACCCA